rnacentral:rRNA from 1 species
CGGUACGCGUAACACGUAAGCAACCUGCCCCAAAGACCGGGACAACGUUUCGAAAGGAGCGCUAAUACCGGAUGUGACCUCUUUUUGACAUCGGAGAGAGAUUAAAGCGAGCAAUCGGCUUUGGGAGGGGCUUGCGGCCUAUCAGCUAGAUGGUGGGGUAACGGCCUACCAUGGCGACGACGGGUAGCUGGUCUGAGAGGAUGGUCAGCCGGAUUGGGACUGAGAUACGGCCCAG